UACGUAGGGGGCGAGCGUUGUCCGGAUUAUUGGGCGUAAAGAGCGUGUAGGCGGCCAGGUAGGUCGGUUGUGAAAACUGGAGGCUCAACCUUCAGAGGUCGACCGAAACCAUCUGGCUAGAGUCCGGGAGAGGAGAGUGGAAUUCCUGGUGUAGCGGUGAAAUGCGCAGAUAUCAGGAAGAACACCCGUGGCGAAAGCGGCUCUCUGGAACGGUACUGACGCUGAGACGCGAAAGCGUGGGGAGCAAACAGG
rnacentral:rRNA from 1 species